AGGACUGCGACGUGGGACUUUAAAAGGAUAGAAGAAUUACCUGGGAAGGUAAGCCAAAGAGAGUAAAAGCCUCGUAUUUAAAAUUCUUUUGAGCCCUAGCAGUAUCCUGAGUACGGCGAGACACGUGAAAUCUCGUUGGAAUCUGGGAGGACCAUCUCCCAACCCUAAAUACUCUCUAGUGACCGAUAGUGAACCAGUACCGUGAGGGAAAGGUGAAAAGCACCCCGGGAGGGGAGUGAAAUAGAACCUGAAACCGUGUGCCUACAACAAGUUCGAGCCCGUUAAUGGGUGAGAGCGUGCCUUUUGUAGAAUGAACCGGCGAGUUACGAUAUGAUGCGAGGUUAAGUUGAAGAGACGGAGCCGUAGGGAAACCGAGUCUUAAUAGGGCGAUUUAGUAUCAUGUUGUAGACCCGAAACCAUGUGACCUACCCAUGAGCAGGUUGAAGGUGAGGUAAAACUCACUGGAGGACCGAACCAGGGCACGUUGAAAAGUGCUUGGAUGACUUGUGGGUAGCGGAGAAAUUCCAAACGAACUUGGAGAUAGCUGGUUCUCUCCGAAAUAGCUUUAGGGCUAGCGUCGAUGUUAAGUCUCUUGGAGGUAGAGCACUGUUUGGGUGAGGGGUCCAUCUCGGAUUACCAAUC
rnacentral:rRNA from 1 species